UACCUCGUGGAAAACUGGGUGUGCUGGGCUAAAGCUUUGCAGAAAAUCCUGUUCUAGAAUAGAUAGGAACAGAACCCGGGCUGUUCUGAACAGUCCCUUUUUAUUUCAGGAUGUUAUAUUCCCAGCACAUUUUACAGUUAUCCUGAGCAGGAGGAGACCUGACCUCUUGCAAUUGGCUGUCAUGAGGUAGCCUCUUCCGCCUUCCCCCUUUAAUGCUUAUGAAGAUAGAAAAAUAUAUAAAAAUAGCAAGACAGGAAACCAAACCUUACAGAAGAUAUAUUGCCAGACUCUGGGAGCACUCUUUGGAAUCUACAAGGCUGAUAGAACUUGGUCAGGAUAAUCCGAACUUCUGAUUGUUGGCAUUCCCAAACUUUGCUUCAUGAAACAGCUCAUAACCCAGAGAACCAGAAAUUGCUACAACCAAAGAUUAUGGAAUCUCACCUCCACCACACAGUUGCUCCUUUUGGAAGCUUUCUGAGCUUGUCUAAACUGCCUUUCAUCCUUUCAUGUCUUUUACAGGAGCAAACUCCGGAGAACAAGCCAGUAAAAGAAAGCCCCAGAGAACAAGCCAGAACAAGCCAGUAAAGGGUUACACCUAAUGGCAAGUUACAUCCUUGGAGGUUAUGAAUUGAAGAAGACUGCAAAAGCUUGGAACACACCAUGUGAGUGCUUCAGAGCUGAAACGAGAAGUGCGUUCUAUUUUUGACCAGGGAUAUGGGAAACGUGUCAAUCUCUGUGUGAGGGUGAAGAACACACUGAGACAGUCAGAAGAGACGUGUGAGUAAUGCCACUGACAUUUAAAAAUCUUUUUCUGGGUCUAAGUAUACCCUGGCGACUUCAUGGCUUCCUAAUAGAAGCAACACAGUCAUACAUACCCUCUCUACAACAGAUCACUUCCUCAGCACCACUAGCCUAGGGACUAUGUGGGGAACCAGGGACAGUGGCUAACAAUAGCCUUAAACUCUCUGUUUCUGAGUCAGACACAAGUAGAAUUCUGAAUCAUACUUUCUUUUUCCUUUUGUUCCUCCUUCCACUCAGAGAAUGCUUGCCUCAAUUUUAAGGCGGUAUCUCCAUCUUCCACUGAGUCAGAUGCAGAAAUUCAGAUCCUUCUCAUCUUUGCAACAUACUAUACCAAGUGGACUUUACCAUGAGUAACAGACCAAUCCAGUGAAUCUCCAAAACCCACAGCAAUAACAGACACCAUGUAAAACAGAGAGGAGUGUUGUCUCCACCCAAUCCCAGUUCUGAAGUCUUCAUUUUGUGGCUUCUUUCACUAACCACAUUUCUUUAAACUUAAUCAGAGCUAACCCUUCCCUAAUUGGACUCAGACAAGUUACUUGAGCACUGGACACAAGACCCAGAAAGAAUUUAGGGCUGUGAACAGCUGAUUAUAAUUUCCUGUGGUGAUUGAGACACACACGUGCAGACACACACACUUUAGAGAUCCUGGUUAUACAUGUUACUUAGCUAUUCUUUAUCUAAUUGAUGAGUAGGCCUUCCUGAGGGAAAAGGAAACGGAGUUUCUUGGGUUUUUCUCCAUUUCUAACUUCACUGAAGAGUUCUUGGUGGUAACCGUGGGUUGCUCACCAUGUCUUGUGGAUUUCUCCCACAGAGUGACUUAACAAGGUACAGAUUCUGCCUUACCACUCUAGUAACGUUGCUCAUGAUGACCCAGUCACCAUGACUUUCCCUUUGUCAAGCUCUUUUUUUUUUUUUUUUUUCAGAGUUUUACUCUGAAACUCUGACCAGGAACCAGGAGUUAUAAACCCUUCUUUUGACUUCUCAUAGGUGCCUUGUGCUCUGAUUGCAACACCCACCUUGCUUCACCUUGUGUUAUAUAUACUCCUUGACAUUCUUAUAUUGCACACCUUUCUAGAUGGUAGGAACCUGAUGCAAUGCCAAUAGUCUGUUGCACUGAAUUGAUUUAAUUUGAUUCUGAACCCAGAGGCUUGCUAAAAUUGUUUGGUUUUCUUAAAAAAGACAUCGAUUCUUUUAACAAAACAAGAGUAUAUUAUGGAAAAAUUAGAAAAAUGCAUAACAACAAAAUGAAAACGCCCAUUAUACUACCAGUUAGAGACAGACUUGCUCUCUUUUUGAAGUAUUACUUUAUUUUUUCCUAAAAUUUUAAUCAAAUUAUUUAAUUUUUCCAAUAAAUAAUAAAUUAUACCAAGGUCAUUUAUAAAGUGAUCAUUCUCCCGGCUGAUUUGAACUGAUUUUAACAAAUUGAAGUAAUUGUUUUUGUAUAGCAAUAUUGGUUGAAAUGUCACUUCAGUGAUACUAAAAAGGUUGUCAAAAGUAGUUAUCUCCACCUCCUUGCCUCUCAUUCUAAAAGGUAUCGCAUACCCACCAGCUUCACCAAGAUUGCUCUUUUCAAGCUAAGCAAUGCUCUCUAUUUUGUUUGUAUAUUGCUUGAAGUCUCCACAGGAUUUAGCACAGUUGACUACCCCUUUCCUGAACUACAUCCUUCUGUCUGCUUCAAUGCCUGUUUGGUUUUUCUCCAGCCUCCUCAGCUAUCUUUUUCCUGUUUCCCUUGCUGCCUUGCUCCUUUUCUGUGUAUCCUCCAAAUGCCAGUGUCUGAGCAUCUUUUUAGGACUCCUUUGCUUCCCUAACAUGCUCAUUUGUGCCUUGGCUUUAAAUAUAAUCAUCGAUUAUUGCCCAACCUGGAUAUCUUGAGCCUAACUUAUCAGGACACCAGAUUUCUGUAGGUUACUGCCUGCUUGUUACUUCCUCAAAAUCUCUGAUAGACAUCUAAAACUUACUAUAUUUGAAACUUUUGAUUCCCCACACCCACCCCCAUCCUGGUCUUUCUCCAGUCUUCUGAGUAUCAUGUACCCAGUUCUUUUAGACCAUAACAGGAAUUACCCUUGAUUCCUUUCUUUUCUUCAGUGUCCCAAUUCAAUCUUUUUGACUUUUCCUCCAAAACAUAUCCCAAAUUAAUUCACUUCUUUCCAACUUCACUAUCCCUACUUUAUCCUGGUCACUUUCAUCUUUCCCAGACUACUCUGAUAGGCUCCUGUCUGGGUUGGCCAUUUCCAUACUGGCUGUUUAUAGUUCAUUCUACAAAUAGAAACCAGAGUGAUCUUUAUGAAUGACAAGUCAGACUGUCACUCUUCUGCUUUAAAACCUUCCAAUAUUUCUUUAUUAUCCUUAAAAAAUAAAGUCCAACUUCUUUAUCUUGGGUACAAAGUCCUGCAAGAUCUAACUUCUGUCAACCUCACAUAUGCUUGCCCCCUUUCCUACUGUGCUGCACCCAUAUUGGCCUUCUUUCUGUUUCUCGACUACACCACGCCUGAUACUUUCUUUGAAAGAUUCUUUCCCCUGCAUUUGCAUGGCUCACUUCUUCUAGCCAUUCACUUAUCAGAUUAAAUGUCACCUCCUCAAGUCAAAAUUAUGCCACCCUACCUGAAUUAUCUUUAUUUUUAUUAUAUAUAUAGUGUACAUAUCUUGUGUAUAAUAUAUAUGUAUGUAUAUGACAGAGAGAAAAAGAGCAUUGUCUGCCUCUCCGAUCAGAAUACAAAGAGAAACAGACUCUUGUCUACCGUCUUCACUGUUGUAUCCUCAGUGACUAGAAUGGUACUUACAGCAUUAUUUUUAAAUAAAUGAAUGAAUGUGACAUAGGCUAGAAUUUUAUUUACACGUGCCUAUGCUUUUGUUUUUUUCUUUUCUGUUCUAAUGCCUAUGCUUUUGUUUUUUCUUUUCUGUUCUAAUGAUCUACCUAUUCUUUCAUCGAACAAGUAAACAAGUAAAACAGAAAUAGAAGACUCCAUCUCAAUUGCCAUAGUUAUCACACACGUUUUAAUAUUUGAUAGGGAUAGCCAAAGUUCUCCCUUCUUACUCAUUAUUCUAAACAUUCCUAACUAGUAUCGCCUGUUUGUUCUCCAAGUGAUCCAAAAACAUACUAUUUAUUUAUUUAUUUAUUUAUAUAAAAACAUACUAUUUAUACUGUAUAGUUCAAUUUUCAUAGGCUCAGCAUAAAGACUCUGUGUGUUUCUUGUUAAGUCAGCUAGUUUAUUUUUUUCUUGCUAUUGUGAACAGCCUAUUGCCCACACAAGGAGAGGUCAUGCAUUUAGGUUACCUACCAGGCCUUUAAAGACAUUUGAGUUUGCACCUCCUGAUAUACAGGAAAACUAAUACUUGUCCAUAUUUAUUUUCUAUGUAAUCUUCAUAGUGGACUUUUUCAUUGGUUUUAGCAGAUCUUCAACUAAUUUUCUUUACUUUUCUAGGUAGUCUAUUAUAUCAUCUGCAAAUAACAAUCAUUUUUUUCCCUUCCCAAGAGUUAAACCCCUUACUCCUUUUCCUCCCUAGUCUGGUUGCAUUCAGUAGAACUACCAUAAAAAUAUUCAAUAAUGAUGAGUAUCCUUGCCUCAUAAUGACUUUUAUAUAAAUGCCUCGAGUCUCCCUAUUAAUUAUGUUGUUAAAUGCUGGUUUUAGAUAGAUUACUACAUUAAGAAUGACAUAGCCUUCUCUCCUAGUUUAAAAGUGCAAUAUGGUUGUUUCUGAUUGCAUAAUAUAUAAUGCUUUAUAUUAUAAUACAUUCUCAUUGUUGCCAUAUUUUUAUUAUUUCAGUAUGGAAAUCAUCCAGGAAUGUUAUAAUAUUGCCUUUAUCUGAUAGGACAUUAAAUGUUGACUGUGUAUCCACUAUGUUAAAAACAUUGUGCUAUUUUUAAACUCUGCAAAUAAGUAGAUUAAAAGGAGAUUUAAAUGUGGAUGUGGUAAUCCAACCCCAUGUUUAAUGCUAUUUCACUGCCCACCAUCAUCUACCAAAGCGUUAGAUUUGUUGUUACAAAAUACCAAAGCAAGCAGUUGCUACUCUACAUAUAUGUACUGCGAACCAUCAUAUUUUCUCCCUGUUAGCUAUGUCUAUUUUUCCUAUGACAAUUAAAGGGUUUUUUCAA